CCCACGGCUCGUCCGCGCCAGUAGACAGCAGCGGUCGGUGGGCGUCUGUGUAUAUUACGUUUCUAACUACUAUGUAGUAGAAAAAGAAUCUCUCCUUUAUUAGAAGUGGAAUUUUGGGCAAAUGCAGGACCACAGCUAUUAUUUAGCACAAGAGCCGACGGAGGGUGAAUGCUUUAAGAAGCCAGACUUAAUAACGGGAGCUACGCAGGCAGAAAUCACGGGAAAACAUCGGUGUGGCUUUUCCCAGAUGGAAGAAGGGUCUAAAGAGGGAAAAAUGUUUUCAAAGCGACGCCGAAGUUGUCUAUUUUCUGCUGGACAGCUACGAGACAAAUCCUGCAACAUCGAUUCCCUUGAAGAGAAAACCUUUGCAAGUCCCAGCUCCAGCAUUAUCUAGCAUUGGGGGUUCUACUGGAACAGACUAAGAUGAGCAUCUUGAUGUCAUUCCAGAAGCCACAGAAAUUCAGGGCCUUGAACAAAGGUAACAUGUACACAUCAUAACUUUUAGCCCUGUAUUGCUUUUCUCCAAAUGUUCAUAAUAUAAACUGUAGUUGGAUGUCAUCAGCAUAGCAAUGGUAAGAUAUUUCUUCAAAACUACCAAUAAUCUUUCCGAGAGGAAGCAUAUACAAACUGAACAGCAGGGGGCCGAGCACAGAACCUUGGGGCCCACCACAGGACAAAGGAGCAGAGUCUGACAUAUAUGUUCCUAUGGACACAGAGAAACUCCUGUCCUAUCCUGAGAUAGGAGGAAAACCAGUCCAGAGCUGAUCCAGUAAUGCCCUCAGUUGUUUUCAGUCUAUCAAUCAGAGUGCAGUGAUCCACAGUAUCAAACGCUGCACUGAGAUCUAAUAGCA